GGCCAUCAUUAAGUAAUUAUCAUUCGGCACAUCGGACACGUCAAACCAAAGGCGCCGACCAUGCUCGUGACGCACUUCGUCGACAUGGUGGUCUACAUAAUGGAUAGAAUGGAAUGUGAAGAACACAAAAAAAUGCAGGUAGACAGUGUGCGGUCCUUAUAAAUGUGCGCACUUAUUGGCCACUCAAACAAACACAUAGAAAAGUACUUCAUUAAAGUGCUUCAUGCAAUCGUCUGUGGCCACCAACAACUGUAACCGGUAAAUUGCAAAUUAUGGCAGAGGAACAGAAAAAAUAUUCCUAUUUUCUUUUACUCAAUUCUCAUUCACACACUCAAGCAUAUAGUUCCUGGAAUUUGUGUAGUGGAAUGUGAAGAUAAACAGCAUGCAACUUCGGAGAUCUUCUUCGAAUAAUAAAGACACAGUAAACAUAAUUUUACCUGCUGCAGUCAGGCAUUUAAAAAUAUUUGCUGAUUGAUAAUAGAGAGUAAGAGGUAGAAGACAGCGGGAGACAAAAAGUGGAGAACUAAUUGUUACCAAAAUCAGCACAAUUUUAAAAGGGACACGACGGACAUACUAUUAUGGACAAAGCAUGUACGAGUAACAUUUUACAUUUUUUUCAAGUGUGAUCGAUUUUUACUCACUUUUAUUCAGAAAUGUCAUUAUAAUAUCACUCUGAUCGAUUGCUUGCUUAUCCAAAUCGGUUAUGAAAUUCUCUUGUUCUUCGAGAUCACGUUUAGCACGCGAUGGCGCUUCGCUAUUCUCCUCUUCGGUUAAACGAUGAUAAACAUCAAGCAGAAAUUGUGGCGCCGAUUUUCUGAAAUGCAGAAAUUAUAGAAAUUGAUAAUUAAUAAUUGUGUAAAUAUAUAAUAUUAUAUUAAUAAUUUUUACUCUAAGGCAAUAACUCUCUAACCAUCAUUUCAUUUCAUUCCCACUGAUUUAAGAGCUGGACUUGAGGGUCCCUACGUAAAAUUACAACCAAAACGGGUUGAAUCGAGGACUCAGGCACUUUUAAAUAUCUCUCUAUAUAUAAUCGGGCCCAUUUUCUUAAAAUUUUUUCGACUUUUUCGUUGUAAAAAUAGUCAUCCUUCGAAAGAAGGUUUCUAAAAUCACACGACUCCCAUUAAAUGUUUUACAUUACUCCUAUAUAUGCAUUCAAGACCCCGUUAUAUCCUCUUCUAACUCGUCCUUUCAACAUUUUUCAUAAACCAAAUCGAGUCAAAAUUGGUCAGAUUAUAAAGUCAGUCUCAUAUUAGAGGAGUCAGGUAACUCGUAUAAGACCUAGAGAAAAUGAUGCUAUAAAAUUAAAAUUUUGGAACACCCUCAAAUGGACUUCUUGCUUUCUUCUUGGCAUAUUUUAUAUAAAUAAAUAUGUGUAGGUACAUGAAAUCAAACGGACUGCAUUGCAGGUCACACAAUUUAUGUAUUAAAUUUCAAAAAAUGAGAUCACUUACGUGGUUGGUUCCAUUCUGUCAUAUGUACAUAUGAGUAUAAAUUCUUUGUUAUUUUUUGGUUUUCGUUGGUAACUUGAGGCUUUGAAUUAUUUCACACUUACUCAACAAAAUUUCGCAAGUGUAAUUUGAAAUCAGAUACCCAUUCAUGGGUACAAAGAAUUCCACUGGGAAAGAGCAAUGUGAAAAACUCAUUUCGUAGACGAAAUGGAGCCGAAAAUAGAGGAAUGCAAAAAUUGUAAAUUUGCUACUAAAAUAUUGGGGUGCCGAUCAAAACCUCAAACAUGAAGGUAAAAUCUCAGGAUAAUAUUUUUUUUUCAAUUCCGUCUUUUCAAAAAUUUGAAUUUGAGGCCUUUUGGUUAGUCUAUCAGAACAAAAAUUGUCCAUUAAUCAGGCGUAUAAUAAGUAAAUUAUUUUAUAAUUGUUACAAGCAAUUUAUCGCAUUUUGUGAAUACCCACAUUGUUGUACUCGUAAUAUUACGACUAAUAACUAGUUUUGUGCCGGGUAUGCAAUGCGAAUGACUUACGAUGGAAGGAGAAGUGAAAAAUUGAGCAAAGUGGAAAUAAAUGAUAUGAACAAAUAAGUGAAUAUAAAAUAUUUAAAUAUUUGCAUAUUUAAGGUAAGGCAAGCCGGCAAUGUAGUCAGCAAGUCUGUUACGUAUAUGACAGUACAAACAUACAAAUACUUAAGAUCUACACAAACAUAGAUUCAUCAAUACUCGAGUUGCACGAGUUAAGAACUGAAAAACUCAAAACAGAAAACGUAAAAACAUUUGAAACGGCUAAUACCAGCGAACUGUGAUGCGAAUUUAUAAUGUAAAUAGAGCAAACUAGUUUUUGUGUAGAAUUUUUAUUUUUUUUUUAUAAAAGAAAUAAUAAUAUCCCCUAAAUCCUAACCCUCUUAAAAACAUUAAUUUUAUCUAAUAAUAAUAAAGUAAUAAUUCUUAAUGCUCCAACUCACCUCAGCGACAAGUGACCAUGCUUUCGUCUUGGCCGCUCUGCCAAACCCAAAAACUCCAAAAUCUCAUAGGACACAUCCAUUUUAUCAUCUUCGUCUAAGGCGCGAUGCAUUAUCGUCUGAUCCACACCGUUAUCCACAUAAAUACCCGAUUGACUAGCCGUUACCAGCAUACGUGGACCGCCACGCCCACUCAGCAGUCUAUAGUCUAUAUCCACACUCAACUGACAUAGCAGGAGCAAUACAAAUAAGGGCAUCAGCAAUACCGAGCUACACAGUCGAUGUAGUGUG